GUGUGUUGCAAAAAUACACAUGCUUUAUUUUCGUAACAUCUGCAAUGUAUUUCCUUUUGAAAACACUUAGGAUUGUACCAGUGACAGUUUUAUUUUACUAUGCACAGUAGCUAUAAAUAGCAUUAUUAUCAAAACAGUUUUUUGCAUUCAAGCUAUAUUGAAAAAUACUGUUAUUACUUUGUCUCGAAUGUAACGUCUGCAAUUAAGCACCAGUGCUCUCCCCUUGACAAGUAAAAUUGUCUGGCGUUAGAC